CCUACGGGAGGCAGCAGCAAGGAAUUUUGGGCAAUGAGCGAAAGCUUGACCCAGCGACACCGCGUGAGGGAUGAAGGCCUUCGGGUUGUAAACCUCUUUUCCUGGGGAAGAAUUUUGACGGUACCCAGGGAAUAAGCCUCGGCCAACUACGUGCCAGCAGCCGCGGUAAUACGUAGGAGGCAAACGUUAUUCGGAUUUACUGGGCGUAAAGGGAGCGUAGGCGGUUCCUUAAGUCAGAUGUGAAAUCUUCUAGCUCAAUUAGAAGGGGUCAUUUGAUACUGAGGGACUUGAGAGCAGCAGAGGGAAAUGGAAUCUCCAGUGUAGCGGUGAAAUGCGUAGAUAUUGGGGAGAACACCAGUGGCGAAGGCGAUUUCCCAGGUUGUUUCUGACGCUGAGGCUCGAAAGCGUGGGGAGCGAAGCGGAUUAGAUACCCGCGUAGUCCACGCCCCAAACGGUGGACACUAGAUAUAGGAGGUAUCGACCCUUUCUGUGUCGAAGCUAACGCCUUAAGUGUCCCGCCUGGGGAGUACGGCCGCAAGGCUGAAACUUAAAGGAAUUGACGG
rnacentral:rRNA from 1 species